CUCAUUGAGGAGUCGAACCUGAUCCUGCUUAGGCUUCAACAUGUGUUCUUCAUACUUUAUGAUGAACUCCAGCGUCAGUGGGAACUUCUCUGAACACGAUCCACCCUGAUCAGGCUUCUUUGGAUAAUGUGGAAUCAAAUCUCAUAUCUUCCUGCCUGGCGAAGGUCACCACGUGUCCUCUGGAUUCAAGGUUCGAGGCCCUUGUGUUCCCAUGAUGCCUUCACUGCCUGCAGGAGGAAGCACGUGGAGAAGGUUGCGUUCACUGUCUGCAGGAGGAAGCACGUGGAGAAGAUGUAACCGGAGGAAGGAAGUCUACGUGAAAACGAGCUGGUCCUGAGACGACAUGAACCAGGUGGUGAAAGGAGAAGCAGCUGAUGUGGACUGAGUCAGAAGUCGCACAAGAAAAUACAAGAUGCAUAAAAUUGUUUUAAAAACUGUUUAAUAAAAACUAAAAUGUAUAAAAUUCAA